AACGAACGCUGGCGGCAUGCCUAACACAUGCAAGUCGAACGAAACCUUCGGGUCUAUUGGCGCACGAGUUCGGAACGCGUGGGAAUCUGCCCUUGGGGUCGGAAUAACAGUUGGAAUCGACUGCUAAUACGGGAUGAGAACUUAAGUCCAAAGAUUUAUCGCCCAGGGUUGAGCCCGCGUAGGAUUAGCUAGUUGGUAGGGUAAAGGCAUACCAAGGCGACGAUCCUUAGCUGGUAUGAGAGGAUGGUCAGCCACACUGAGACUGAGAAGCGGCCCAGACUCCUACGGGAGGGAGCAGUGGGGAAUAGUGGAACGCGGGCGAAAGGAUGAUCGAGCACGGAUGCGUGAGUGAUGAAGGUAUUAAGGUUGAAAAGUGUUAUUACCCAGGCUGAUAAUGACAGUACCGGGAGAAUAAGCCCCGGCUAACUCCGUG
rnacentral:rRNA from 1 species